rnacentral:rRNA from 1 species
UACGUAGGGCGCAAGCGUUGUCCGGAAUUAUUGGGCGUAAAGAGCUCGUAGGCGGUUUGUCGCGUCUGCUGUGAAAACUCAGGGCUUAACCCUGAGCUUGCAGUGGGUACGGGCAGACUAGAGUGCGGUAGGGGGAGACUGGAAUUCCUGGUGUAGCGGUGAAAUGCGCAGAUAUCAGGAGGAACACCGGUGGCGAAGGCGGGUCUCUGGGCCGUAACUGACGCUGGAGGAGCGAAAGCAUCGGGAGCGAACAGG